UACGUAGGGUGCAAGCGUUGUCCGGAAUUAUUGGGCGUAAAGAGCUCGUAGGCGGUCUGUCGCGUCGGCUGUGAAAACCCGGAGCUCAACUCCGGGCCUGCAGUCGAUACGGGCAGACUGGAGUUCGGCAGGGGAGACUGGAAUUCCUGGUGUAGCGGUGAAAUGCGCAGAUAUCAGGAGGAACACCGGUGGCGAAGGCGGGUCUCUGGGCCGAUAUUGACGCUGAGGAGCGAAAGCGUGGGGAGCGAACAGG
rnacentral:rRNA from 1 species